UCCGGUUUGUCACCGGCAGUCUCGCAUGAGUCCCCAACUUAAUGCUGGCAACAUGCGACGGGGGUUGCGCUCGUUGCGGGACUUAACCCAACAUCUCACGACACGAGCUGACGACAGCCAUGCAGCACCUUCACGGCAGCCCCGAAGGGAAGCUCCAUCUCUGGAGCGGUCCACCGCAAUUCAAACCCAGGUAAGGUUCUUCGCGUUGCGUCGAAUUAAACCACAUGCUCCACCGCUUGUGCGGGCCCCCGUCAAUUCCUUUGAGUUUCAGUCUUGCGGCCGUACUUCCCAGGCGGGCACUUAAUGCGUUAGCUACGGCACGGAACCCGUCGAUCGAGCCCCACACCUAGUGCCCAACGUUUACGGCGUGGACUAC
rnacentral:misc_RNA from 1 species